rnacentral:rRNA from 1 species
GAUGAACGCUAGCGGCAGGCCUAAUACAUGCAGGUCGGACGGGAUUCAGGAGCUUGCUUCUGAUGAGAGUGGCGCACGGGUGCGUAACACGUAUGUAACCUACCUUUAUCAGGGGGAUAGCCUCUCGAAAGAGAGAUUAAGCCCGCAUAAAAUCACAGCACAGCAUUGUGUAAUGAUCAAAUAUUUAUAGGAUAAAGAUGGGCAUGCGGAACAUUAGCUAGAUGGCGGGGUAACGGCCCACCAUGGCGACGAUGUUUAGGGGAUCUGAGAGGAUGGCCCCCCACACGGGUACUGAGACACGGACCAGACUCCUACGGGAGGCAGCAGUAAGGAAUAUUGGUCAAUGGGCGGAAGCCUGAACCAGCCAUGCCGCGUGCAGGAAGACGGCCCUACGGGUUGUAAACUGCUUUUAUACGGGAAUAAACCCAGAUACGUGUAUCUGGCUGAAUGUACUGUAAGAAUAAGGAUCGGCUAACUCCGUG